CUUGAUUAAAGCUGGACCGAUGUCUAUAUUAUGAGUGGUGUGUUGAAUCUCUAUGUUGUAUUCGAAGAGCCUAGUCGCUUCGCCUUGCUGGUUUUGGCAAGGGCUUGGUUCUGGUCUUGUGCUUCUUUUCCUGCGUGAUUAUAGUACUCAUUGUACUUUCAUCAUAAUAUAUUUUAAAUUUUUUGAUUUGUUUGUUCAAAAGUUUACAUCCAGGAAGAUUGAUAGGGUUAGCAAAAUUACCGUUCUCAAUAAGUAUAUGAUUAUAUAACUUGGCUUUGUUUAUUCUAUAUCAACGUUGUUUUUUCGUCUUGCAAAGGUUCUCUCAACAUUAUUGAUGAAUAAUUCACUAAAAUGUAAGUUAUGUAACGAUUGUUAUAUCAUUCUAAACUCUGAAUGUGCUAUCACAUUCAUACCAUCAGAAUAUAACAUGUAUAAUAUUCAUCGAAAGAUAUUGAAUUACAUUAUUUGACAUUUAAAGUCAUUUGUUAUUUUUUGAUUUCAUCAAAAAAUCAAUGGUGAACACUCUAGUAUUUAUAGAGUUUGUUUGGGUAUAUGUACCUCAUCCAAUUAUUAAAAUAAAUUUAUCAAUUUUUUGUUUUGAGAAUUAUUGAAUAUGAAUCCUUUUUACCUAAUAGUUUAAAAGUAAAAUAUGCAUUUCGUUAGUAAUAUAGUUUUUCUUGAAUAUCAUUUAGAUGAAAAAUUCAUGAAUAUCUUCUAGAUAUAAAUUUUAAAAAAUUAUAAUAUACUAAUUAUAAUUUAUUAUAAAAAGUAUACAUAAGACCCUUAAAAAAUGUACAUAAGACAAAUUUUUAUGACUGGUCAGUUAAUAUAAAUUUUUUAACAAACUAUGUCGAGUAGCGUUUAAACCUACAAAUUGCUUAUCACUUUUUUUUGAGGGAAAAUUGCUUAUCACUCUUUAUCUCAAUUUUAAUCAUAUUAGUUUAAAUAGUAGAAAUCAAUUUUUCAUAUCGGUAUCCACUAAUUUAUCCACUUAUACUUUUUAAGAAAAUAGAGUCUAUUCUCUCCAAAAAUAAAAUAAAAUAAAGUAGAGUUUAUAUUAUUUUGUUGAGGUUGGAUUAACAUAAAGAAAAUGUAAGGAAAAGUGGUGUUUCCUGUGUCUGUUUAGAGCUUCUCAUAUAUGCACGUCCAAAAUCCAAAUUAAAUGACACCACAUGAUACUUGAGAGUUGGCACACAUGUAAUGUAAUAGUGUGGGACAUACAUUAAAAAUAGGUUUAAACGCACUCUCCUAUCCUCUAAGUUUGCAAAAGUUGCAAUUUUAGCCCCCAAUUAAAAAAAAUGGUAAAGGUGACCCCCUAUAUCUACCCAUUUUGUAAAACGCAAUUUGGAUUUGGUCAUGCCUGCAUGGCAUGCCACAUGUGUAAUUAGUUAUUUAAAGAAAAAUAAAAAUGUCAUGCAUGUAUAUAUGAAAUUAAAAAUAAAAAUAAAAAAUAAAAAAAGCAAGAGGGAGAACCAAGCACAGGAAUAACAGCAACUACAUUAUCAUUCAUCUCCAUUCAAAUAAUAUGUUCAUGGUAUCAUUCUCAAAAUUUUCAUUACAUUUCUUUUUCAAUAAUUAGGAAAUUCUAUAACAUUUGCCCUUUUUCUUUCUUCAACAGCGAGAAACCAUAAGCAACUUUUUCUUCUUUUUUUGUCAUAUAUUUUCCUUCCCAAUCGCAUCUAUUGCAACAAUUAAUUCAAGUUCUCAUCAACAAGAUGAAAACCACCAACAACAACAUCACGUUUUUUAGAAAACAAAAUUUGUAUUCAAUCCCUAUCAAAUACAUCUCCCAAAAACUUAAUCCAUCUAUCAUUUUCCUCCUCUUACCCGGUUCAAUUGUCCAACUAAACAACAACAACACUGACAUUCUCACUCUUCUCGUUCCUGACUUUUCUCUCUCUCCCUGAUCUAGUUGUGGCGAAACAUGGUGGAAAUGAUGGUUGUUGUAGGAGGUCGUAAGUGAUGGUGGUUGUCAGAUCUGAGAGUAUCACAGGUGGUGGUGGUUGUGACCAAUGGUUGUCAGAACUGAGACUCAUCUCUCUCAAGCAGUAGUGGAUGUAGAGAGAUACGGUGGUGGAGAGGACGGUGAUGAGAGUGGUUUUGGUGGGUGAGAGAUGAAUCUGAGAAGGUUGGUAUGGUGGUGGUGGUGCUGUAAACAUAGAUUAGAGACGAUCUUGUGGUGGUGAUAGGAGAAUAGCGGCGGCGGUGGUGGUGGUGUGAUAAGUGCUUAUUGAUCAUUUAAUAUAUGGUUCUAGCUAUUUAUUCAAUAUUGUUGUUAUUCUUGCAUUUAAUGUUUUAUUGAGAUUCAAAAUGAUAUGGACACAUAUUUUUGAAUCUAGAAAUAGAAUAACAAUCUAUCUUAAGUUAUCACUCUAGACAUGGAUGUUGAUAUUUGAUAAUCACUUUUAAUCUAUAUGAUUUAAUGCUUUUGGGUAAUUUAAUCGGUUGGGAAAUCGUCGAUAAAACUAUCCAAUCGACUUUGUGAUCGUUUAAAUGUUUGGAAAAACGAUGUUUAAACGAUCCCUUAGAAAUAACGAUAUCAUUUGGACACGGAUGAUAUUGUCGAGUGAUUGUGAUAAUAUCGUUUAAAAAGUUAGGAUCCGUUAAUCGAUCGAGAGAUUGCAGCUGUUACGCUUGGUUGAUGUCUCUGACCGCAAGCGAAAUAGCCCUAUCUCUUCUCAUUUUACUUUUAUGUCGAUUAGGAAAAUAGUUUUACGCAAACAAACAAUUUAUACCCAAACACUUAACAUGACAAAUAUUGUGAAAAUGCUUAUGAAAUAUGUAACUCCCUGUGGACUCGAUCAUAUUAUACUUACGUGUAAAUAGUUUUAUGAGAUGUAAAAAUCUUACAUCAUGGUGGUGAACAAGAUCGGAGAUGAAGGUUGAGGUGGUGUGGUGAUGUAAUAUUCUGCAUUUUUUAAAAAGAAAUGGAUGAAAAAGAUGAAGAAUUAGGUGAAGAAGAUGAAUGUUAAUCUCUUCAAUUAAUCCUUUCAUUUUUCAUUUUUUUUAAUUCUAUAAAUACACAUGUGGCCUUUUUCAUUUUUUUUAAUUAAAAAAAUACACAGUUGGCAAUUUUUAAGUUAAGUGGCAUGACACAUAGGUUUGACCAAGUCAAAAUUGGUGUUUUGCAAAAGGGGUUAAACAUGAGGGGGGAACUUUUGCCAUUUUUUUUAACAGGGGCCAAAAUUGCAACUUUUGCAAACUUAGGAGGUAAAAAGUGUGUUUAAGCCUUAAAAAUAUUGUCGUCGAUUGAUAUAAUAUUUGCUUCUCAUCUACAAUGUGUUCAGUUUGAUUGAUCAAAAUCCACCCUAAUUUUCUUGAUUAAUCAGGUGGAUGAGGGUGAUAGAGUUUCAAUUUUGUUAGUAUCAUAAUUUUGUUUUUUUGAUACGUGUAUGUCGUUGUUGUUGGAAACUUUGAAUGUGUGUUUUGGAAUUGAAUAUUGCUUAGCUAUAAGCAUUUCUCUAGACAAACAUUUCACAUCUCACGUGAUAAAAUAUGGAGUUAUUUUGGUUUUAUAAAUUAAAUAUGUUGUCUUCAUUUUGACAGAAUUUCAUUGAUUAAUAUGUAGUGAUUUUGAUAUGGAUUUGGGUGUUGCAUGAAUCUUCAACGCGGCAUUUACAUGAAUAUUGAUUUUUUGGAUAGUAAUUUUUUGUCUCCGAGGUUGCAGACGAGUAGGAGACUGCGAUUAGAAUGCAAUUUAUUUAUGUCUAUAGCAGGUAGGAGCUAAUUGUAUGUCCAUUCCAGAUAAAUGGGAUUUGGUUAAGCUUUUUUUAUGUGAUAAUGACCAAUUUUUUAUUUAUUACCGAUUUGUUUUUGGAUCCUAUAUGAUGAAUGAAACAGUGUAUGUACUAUUUUAUGGUUAUGUUAAUCUCAACAUAGGGUUGCUAGAAAUUAUAUACUAAUCAACUAAAGCUUUUAAGUUGAAUAAUAUCCAUUAUAAAUGGGAGUGGAGUUUUUGUAUAGGGGAUCAUGAAGCAAUCUGUGCAAACUACAGAUUAUAAGCUUAACUCAUUGGUAUUGAACCAAACAGAUUAUGCAAAGAUGAAUGUGUGAGGAUACUUGAUCAGGCAAGAGGUUUCUAGGAUAGAUCAUGUUACAAAGAUAAAUUCUGCAGCAAAUAAACAUGUAAUGGAAGGAGAUUUAUAUGAAAUAUGAACGCGACCCAUUUCCCUCAAUCAUAUAUGUAUUGUUGAAUCUGGAUCAUCAAGGUGCUCUAUCAAAACAAUCAACAAAGGUAGUUUCUCCUUUGGAUUAUUGGGGGAAGAUUGCUUGUUGGUAUAAGAACAUGACCAACACCAACAUUGGUCAUGUUGUAUAUGACAUGAUGCACCCCCAAAAUAUUGUGUUGGUGAAAAUUUUCAAUGACAUUUCGUUUAUCUUAUUAAUAAACAUAACUAAACGUUUUCAAUAUUCUCAUACAUAUACUUGAACUUAACAACAAAAAGAGAUAAACGUGGGAAUAGACAGAGUGCUUUGGUUAUUGAUCGAAUACCAAUAUUACAAUAUUUAAAAAUCUCCAUCUUUGAAAGACAUUGGUAGCAUCACAUGAGCAAUGGGGUCUCUCUUCACCUUCCAUUUCUUGAACUGUUUUGAAGCAGCUUUCAAUGCCCUGCCCCAUCUCUGUAUCAAAUAGCACCCACAACCACAAGUUAUCACCAAUAAUUACUUCAAUUUCAACAUUUUACUAAGCUAAUCAAUUCAAUUAAUCUACAUAAAAAUCUCAACAAUAGUAAAGUGACCAAAAAGUUUUCAAGGCUCUAAAUACUUAUUACAAACUAUCACUGUGUGUUAAAAAAAAAAAAUAAAAUAAAAUAAAAUUUUGAUGAAUACCCAUUUUCAUAAACCAGAACACAAAAUAAAAGAUAUGCUUAAAAAACAUAAACCAAUUGAUAAAUAAAUGUAAUAACAUAAAAAGUAACAAAUAAGUUAAAAAGAAAUACCUUAUUAUUGAUGAUGGGGUUACAAGCACAUUUGAUCCUUGAAGGUGUUGGAGAGAAAUCAGAAGCAAUCUUCUUGUUCUUAAUGAAACCAAAUUUGAGAUUGAAGGAAUUAGAAGUGAACUUCUUCCUAAGCUUAGAACCAACCUUGUUGACACUGCAUCUAGCUCCUAAGGCAAUGUCAUAGGAAAGUUUCUUUGGAGUAAUGAGAUCCAAAUCCAUGGGAGAGUAGGGUCUUGGAACCAAAGGGGACCAGAUUGUGCUUUGAGAGUAGUCAAAAUCAUAAGCAGAGUUAUCUGGGAAUUUGCAGAGAAGCUCUAGUGACAUGAAUGGUUCUAAAUAUUCAACAACUUUUGUAGUGUUCAGUAACAAUGGUUGUUGUUGUUGUUGUUGUUCUGCUUCUUCUACAGAUUUCAUUGCUGAAUCAAAGUGUUACUGUUUGGUUAGUUACUUUCUUUGUUUUCUUCAAAAGCUUUGGUUUGGUUGGAUUUGUUUUGCAUUGUAAUCCAAUAAAGGAGGAGAGAGAAAUAAACGACAAAAAAAGGAGCCGUUGUAUGUCAUGUCACAACUUAUUUUAUAUAAAUAAAAGUAGCAAACAAAUAAAUAAAGGAUAUUAUUACUUCCAUCAACGUUUAAUACCAAUAUUACAUAUAAAAUACCCUCUACGUUCUUUUUUAUAAAAAGUAAUUAGACUAAUUUUUGUCCCAAUUAUAAAAAGGAAACUUCUACGAAUUGAGGUGCACUGAUACACUCAAAUUUUUGGAUGUAACAUAGAAUUUGCUUUAUAAAAAAAUAUAAUAUAUAAAAACAUUUUCAACAAAUCAGAGAACUGUGAGAAACAUGGGUGGAGAAAGAGUCCCAUUUUCAUGGUAUGUAUCCUUGAGAAAGUCCAAUAGCAUGAAUGCUAAAACAAGUUAAUUAAUCCGCUUGUUUUCGGUAGUUGUUUCUUUCAUAGCUACUCGAAAUUAAAACCAUUUGAUUUUUUUUUAUUAUUAAAAAGUUUAUGUGAGUUAGAUCUUGAAUUAACUAGAACUGAUAUAGACUUUAAGGUUCAAAAAAUUGUUGAUAAAAUAUUAGAGAUUAUCCACCAACAAGGUCAUUACAAGAAUUGAAGAUUUACCCUUGUUUUUUGAAGUGCGUAUUCAAAUUGAAUAAAUUAUUUAAAAGCACUAGAGCACGUAAAUUUUCUAAUUUUCACAGACAUGUAUGGCAUAAGUGAUAAACACUUGAGCCCAUUAACCAUUUGUUUUUGGCUUCAGUUCCUAACUCGGAUGCAUGGAAAAACAUACGUCUGCACGCGCGAGAAUAUCUUGGUUUACCAAAAUAUACUACUACUUUUCUGUGUGAAAUGACUAUAUUUGAACCGAUUCCUAAUCACCUAAGAUUGAGCACAUAAAAUGCCGUUAAAAAAAAUUAAGUACAUAUAAAUAUGACCAUAGAUCUAUCUCAUAUAGUUCUUUGAGUGCAUAGCAAGCAAAACGAAAGUGCAUGUCCAAGCAAGAAUAUAUUCCUCACAAAAUAAUUGAUGAACUCUAUUUUAUACGUACUAAUAGUAUCCAAAUUCCAAAGAAAUGCAAUGCACCACUUAACCUUUAUCCUUUUAGAAAAUUGUUAGCUUAUAAUUAACAUAUCACAAAGUGACAGCAACAAAUUAAAGCGACAGCAGAAUCAACUUUAGUUUAUAUAUUCAUGCUUUCUCACUUUACGGCUACCAACUAACUAUUUAUAUUACAGUCCAUUUCUCUUACUCUCCAUCAGCAAAAUCUGUGAGGAUAUUUUCAAAUUUCAACCUCUAAUUUUGUGCAUUAGUGUUAAUCCAAUUCCAAUGGAGUCAAGAGCUUACAUCCUUAGAUUCAACAUUGCACAUCUUUGCCUCUUGAUGCUAGUUUCCACUCUUUUCCCUUUGUGUGGUAAACCAUGCAUAUAAAUUAUAUGAUUAUUUCAUAUACUAAUCUAUCUAUGUAACUUCAGUUUAAUUUGUGUAGUAAUUAAUAAAACAUAUGUAACUUUUGUUAAAUUUGCAGAUGCUAUAAAUCAUGGAAGAGGUAGUAGAAGCUACUCCAUCAAAUCAUGGAAGAAACUCAAAUUUUCAUCAUUUGGCUACUCAGACUUAGAUUCUUCAUAUGGUACUCCUUCUUCUCAACCACUUCCACCUUUCAAUUCACUUGCUCCACAACCUACCUCUCUACCACCUUAUUCACCUGUUCCAAACCCACCUCAUGAUGUUUUUAGACCACCACCAAGUCCUAAAACCAUUGUUACAAUGUCGCCGCCGCCACCUCCAAGCCCAUCAAAACAUGUUCCAAGCCCACCUAAAAGUGUUAUAGGCCCACCUCAAGUAUACUUGCCACCUAUUGUUUAUCCACCACCACCUUCAACUCAUAAGAAGCCACCACAAUAUGCUAUUUGGUGUGUGGCAAAGCCUACAGUUCCUGAUCCUAUAAUUCAAGUGGCUAUGGAUUAUGCCUGUGGGUCUGGGGCUGACUGUAAAUCAGUUCAGCCUAAUGGGAUAUGCUUUCAGCCCAACACAGUGUUGGCACAUGCUUCUUAUGCAUUUAAUAGCUAUUGGCAGAACACUAAGAUUGGUGGGGGGACUUGUGAUUUUGGUGGUACUGCUAUGCUUGUCACUGUUGAUCCAAGUAAGUUUGCACUACGUACCAUAUUUGAUUACCUUUGUUAAAGAGAUUAAUUUUCAUAUAUUUCAUUUUUUUUUGUAAGUAAUUUUUCCAUGUAUUUCAUGUUCUACACUGUUAGCACAUUUACAUGUUGAUCUAAUGAUAAAAAAAAAAAAAAAAUUUUGAAUCGGCAAAAUAUUAUAUGUAUGGACCGUAAAAGUUGAUUAUGAUAAAAUUUAAACAGUUGAUUAGGAUAAAUAAUUUAAUUUUUUGGUACAAAUAAUAAAAUAAAUUUUAAUGAAAUUAUAUGACAAAAUUAACACUUCACAUGUUUCAUAUAUAUCGAGAUUCUUUUUUUGUUACAAUGAGAUCCUUUUAUUUAGCUGUUAGUUAAGUCAUUUCACAUCACAUCACAUACUAUAUAUAUCCACACAACAGGCAUAUGCCACUUGAUUUCUUUUAAAUUGGAAUCUAUCCGGGUAGAGAAAACAUGAAUUCAUGACAUCGGUAGCCGGCGUCUGAUUAAAAAUAAAGGUUUUUUUUAAAUUACCUUUAAAGAAUGGUGGGUAAUUUAUCCACCAACCAAUGAAAAUGAGCAAUUUAUUUGUGGAGUCAAGAUAGUUCAUGAAUAUGUGUUUAUGUGGCUAAUGUGUAUUGGUUGGGGUAAAUUACCCAUCAUUCUUUCAUGGGUAGCCUAGUUGCCACCAAAAAUAAAUGGUUCAAAUAAAUAUAUAUUUUAAUUUAUAAUUUAAAAAAAUAUCAAAUUUAAAUAUGAAUGGUUUAAUCUUGAUCAAACAACUAUUGAUGUGCUAUUGUGUGAUGUGUGCUUGAUCCCCUUUCUUCUUUUGAGGUGCAUUCUUCAUUGUCACACUCGGUGGUAUUAGAUUCGCGCACAGUCACUUAAAGCCCACAUUCACCUAUUCAAAACGUUGUUGACUUAUAUGGAUCAAGAUCUAAAGGAAUUUUAAGCUGGUUUUUAAGAUAAAAAACAAAAAUCAAACCUUAAAACCUGCAUUGUUCGAUCUAGAGUCAACGAUCACCGACAUGGUGAAAGUGAAUUUUUGUAACUACAUGGAAUGCAUAUUUCGUAGUCUUUUCAAUUUAGAACUAUGGAUUAUUGCUUCAGACUAACAUUUCCCUCAAAUCCUCGAUUUAUUUGGCAGGUUAUGACAAGUGCAGCUUCAAGUCGACUUAGCUCAUUGCUUGCUAUAAUACAUAGCAUUUGGAGACUUACCAAAUAUUGAAAACUUCUUGUUCCAAUGUAAUUUUUUAUGCAACGAUAAAUUCCCUUACUUAAUUAGAUACAUUAUUUGGAGUUACCUUGAUCAUAGUAUAUUCCGCCCUUGCUUAAUUUUGUGUAGUUCUAUAUAUUUCUAAAAUGGUAGGUUUAAUAUAUAUAUUCAUGACCAUAAUUUGAUAUUUAGAGAUGUAUGUAGCUCUAUUACGUUUCUGGUUCUUUAGUUUAAAACUUAGAUAAGCACCCAUCUUUUGUGUAUUACUAUCAGCGUUAUAAUCCUUGAAAACUUAGAUAAGCACCCAUCUAAAUGCAUAUAAGGUUAAGACAAUACCGACAUCAAAAUGCAGGUUGAAUACAUUAUCCGACUAAAAUCCAUUUCGCUUUCUUCAUGCAUGUGCUCUACAGUUAUCUUCAAUGAAUAAAACAGUAGUUACCUUCAGCCAGCUUGUAAUAUGUUGUCGCACCUGCGAAGCUAAUUUGCAUUCAAAAAAUAAGUGAGAAACAUUUUCCUGCGAAGCUAAUGAAGUGUACGGAAAAAUAAAUAAAAAAUUUACAUUUUAUUAUAACAAAGCAAACAAUUUACUCUAUUGCUUUUUUCUUUAAAAAAAAAUAAAAAAUUUACUUUAUUGUUUCGUGGUGUUUUUUUUAUUCAUUUACUUACUGAUAAAAAACUCAUAUAGACAAAAGAACUGAGUUAAGUGAGAAAAAAAAUGAGAUUAUAGCUAGUAUUGAUAUUUUUACUAAUGUAUUUCGAAAAAUAUUUCAUUCUGUUGGUGUAUAAAAAUUUACAUUAGAAGCAGGGAGGGAACCAUAUUUAACGGUAUAAGAUAGGAAAGAAAAAACAAAUUACUUUACCCAAAAAAAAAAAAAAACAAAUUUUUAUUUGCAAAUAUAAUGCACACAUGAAAUUUAAGAAAUUAUAUGUUACUUCCCUCAUUUCCUUUUUUUAAGUGUUUUUUUAGAAAAUUAACACAAAAAUCACGAAGUGUAUUUUUUGCACAUUUUCUUCCUAGUAUACCCUCAUUUUAAUCCACUAAUAAAUUUCAAUUGUUUUGCAAACACUUUAUCUUUCCAAUAAAUUUAAUAUGUUAUAUUUCUCUCAUUGUGAGUUACUAUUAUCUUUUUCUCCAACAAAUUCCUAUUUUUUUACAUGCACUCUCUCAUAACAAACAAUUGUCAAUUUUCUAAAUAUUGUGUACAUCUUUUCAAUUAUUUUAAGUCAAUAUAAAAAUUAAAUUGAUGAAACUUCUUCUUCUUCAUUGUCAUCUUGUUCUUGUUCUUGUAUCUUGUCGAAUGAGUUUUCAACUAUUGCUCCCUCUUCACAUCUCAUCAUCAAUUUCAACGAGUCUUCCACUUUUUCAUCCUUUUGAGCAUACUACAUGGAGUCUUUUAUUUUUCUUCUCUCAAAUCUUUUAUUUUACUUUGCCCUUGAAAUUUUUAACAAUUGAUACUCAUCUUAGUUAUCGAAUUUUAACUCUUCUUGGAACCAUUGUUUGUAACAAAAUUUUGUUUAAAUUUGAAGAUAACAAGAAACAAACUUUGUUUAAAAAAAAACUGUGUUCCAAAUAGAUAGCAUUAAUUAGUUUUAUUGAAAAAGCUAAAAGUAAUUGGCAAAGGGUAUAAUUGACAAAUCGUAAUUUAAAAUACCAAAAAGACAGUAAAAUAGGAACGGAAAAUUCACCAUAAAAAGACACUUAAAAAUGAACGGAGGAAGUAUAUCCAAAGUUAAUAUGUAUCGAAAAUUGUGUUCAUGUGUAAUUUAUUUGUUGUUUUUUGUUGCCGUUGUUUCUUUAGUGGCACUUUGACUCUGUAAAUACUUGUCGGUGGUUCUCCUUUUGCAUACCUUAUACAGGUUGAACCACUCUGAUUUUAUUAAUAUCUCAUUUUGAUUUGUUAAAAAAAAAUGUAUCUAAAAUUAUAAGAAAUUUCAAAGAUGUUAGAAAAAUGAGUUCCUUGAGGCUUCUUUGAGUGUGACCAAAGAAGAUUUUUUUAAUAGUAGAGAUAGGAAAUAAGAAACAACAAGAAUGUAAAUGUAGGAGAAGAAAUUCAAGAUAAUAUCACAAACAUUAGUAGUGACUGAAAGGGCGCAAACAACACCGCGUGCAAUAUUUCUUACAGUUUGAGUGAAAUUGCAACAAAUAAUCACAAAUUAAUAUUCUAGUUAAGGUUCUUCUAAUUGCAUAAAAAAAAACUCACUUUAUUUCUCAAUUUCUCAAUGUUAUGCAUUCUAGUUAAGGAUUUGUGUUAUUAAAAUUUGAAAGUUAUACAAUGCUAAAUAUACUGAGUAAAAAAAAGUUCAUUAUACAAAAUCAUAUUAAGUUCACAGAAAAUAGUAUAGUGACAAAAAAAUAAAAAUAAUAAUAACAUACUAAUAUGAAGGGAACCAUGGCCUAUGUUAGUCUCCGUUCUAGUUUCAUCCCUGAUUGCAAAGUAUAUCAUAAUGCAAUCUUGUGUAGCUACGAUAAGAAUUAAAUAUUUUCAAUUAUCUACUAAUAGUAAUGAUUAAUUGACAAUGCAAGUACUCUUUACACCUGCAUUGCAUAUGAAUUAGAAGUCACUUUGUUGGCAUAUCACUCCUCAAUCUUGUGAUCCUCCGUUCAAAACUAGCGGUAUGGUAACAAAACCCAUAUAUGUGGGUAUCCGUUUGAACCAAACUUAAAUUGACGGGUUUUUUUUAUUUUAAUUGGGUUUGGGUUUGUCUCGAUUUCAAAAGAUAGAUACGGGACGGGUAACAGGAAUAUAGGUACUCAUCUCAAACCCAUCCUGAAUGUAGAAAAUUAAUUUAUUACCCAUUUUAUAUAAAUAAAAACUCAAACCCUAAAUCAUUUCACUCAUACAAUCAGAGUCUCGGUCUUUCAGAUGACACAAUUAUCAUAGUUCUUUCUUUUCUCCUUCAAUAUUCCACACUCUCAGCCUCUCUCUUCUUCAUCACCAUAGUCAUCGAUCGUCGUCAUCUUUUUACUGAAUAAUGCAUUAGUCAUUACAACUUUGCGCUCGGGGAUAAAAAAUACUUUUAUUUUUAAUAAAAAAAAAUUAUCCACUUCGGGGAUGGGAAUGAGGCGGGGAUGCCCAAACCCGUCGGGGACAUGGAUGAGAUUCGAUUUCUCAUCUCCGCUGAAUAUGGGUAUGGUAACGGGUAAGUAUUUGAAAAUAUGGUAUGAGGACGGGGAAGGUAAAACUCAUCCUCACCCUACCCCAUUGUGAUGCCUAUUCAUGAAGCACAUAUAUUUAGGUAAAUAUUAGAAUAGAAUAACAUUGGAAUGAAAUAAUGACAAAAUUAUCUCUUCACAUGUUUCAUAUUGAGACUCUUUUAUUUACAAUGAGUUCCUUAUUUCGUCGUUAUAGUUUAAGUGAUUUCACAUCACAUACUAUACCCUAACAACAAAGACAUAUUAUGCCACUUGGUUUCGGUACACAUUUCAUUGUCACGCAUCGUCGUCUUAUGGUUGUUGUGCCUUCAAUUUAGUUAAAACUAUGGGCUAUUGCUACAGACUGACAUUUUCCUCAAAAUCAAAACCACCGUUUAUUUGGCAGGUUAUGCAACUUCAUGUUGACUUCCUUCUAUUGAAAACCUCUCUUUCCAACGUAAUUUUUACGUAGCAAUACAUCCCCUUUGCUUAAUUAGUGACAAUAUUUGAAGUUACCCUACCUUGAUCAUCAUCAUCCCUUGCUUAAUUGGUGACGAUAUUGGAAGUAACCUUCAUCAUCUUCUUUGUGGUUUUUCUAGGAAUUCUUUAGGUGUCUUCGAGUUUGGAAGCAUACAAUCAUUUUUGUAAUAAUUAAAAAUUAAAAUUGUUACAAACUUCUAAAACACGGAAGGGUGAUUGAGUUGUCCUCGUGGAGUCAUGUGUCCAAUUGGUUAUAUAUACAAUCAUAUUAUAAUAGUCGUAUAUACGUAAACAUUUUUUAAAAAAAUAUGUACCACACUUUAAAAAUUCACAUAUGCAUUAAUUAAUUUACUUUUAACCUUAUCUUCUAAUAUAUUAUUAUAAAUUAAUUAAUAGUUAUUUUAAGAAAAACCAAUAAACAAUAUAACGCAAACUUGAAACAAAGAGUGAAUCAAGGAGAAUCUACAAAAUAAGUAGAGUAAUGUAUAAUUAAUACAGAAAAAAAAUUAACAAAUAAAAUUUAUCUCACCUUACCAAUGGAGAUUUUAUCUAUUGGAAAUGGUUGAUAUACUUACAAUUAGUUUUCGACACACAUCGAAUAUGAUUAUCUCCAAUUUAUGUGGCGGAAAAACUUAUCACACACGUUAGAAAAAGAAAAAAGUGUUUAUUUUUCUAGUUCCAUGAGUUUCUACAAGGUUUUUUUUACUUCACUAGCUAGUGAUGACUCGCAUGUGAGAUUUGCGAGUGCAACUUAACAUAUGUGAUUUUGAGACCACGAGAGAAGCAUAUAAUUUUUUUUUUUAAAGUACUAUAAAAUAAUAAUAAAAUUUGAACAUAUAUAUGAAAUGUGGUUGUAUCUUUCAGCAUGGAUUAGAACUUUGUUUGUCAUGUUUAUGAGAGUUUAAUCUCUUGCGCUAAAUUCAACCUUAUUGGUGAAUCUAGAUUUUUUUUUUUAUGUAUAUAUGUAUAUAUAUAUAUAUAUGAUGUUUCUAACCUAAUUAAGAGUUAUAUGUUGUAAUAAUAUUAUAUAAUUGUCUUUUUACUCCUUUUCGAUCUUGAGUUAUUUUGGGACGGGAAAAUAUCUUUAUUUUGGUUUUCAUAUAACUAUUCCCCCUUUUUUGUGAAUCCAAAGCAUUGCUUGAAAACUUUUAUUAUCAGCAUUGCUCGAAAGUUGAAACUAUUCCCGCUGGAUUCAAAGUUUUCAACUUCACUAAUUUCUUUGAAAAGAAAAUACUAUAAAACUUCACUGACAUGUUACGUUACAUUUGGAAGCCAGUCAUGUACCGUAAUAAUUGAAGAAAAAAUAUUAUCAGCCGACACUAAAUGCAUAAAAGGUUAAGACAUUACCGAUCCAUGUUUUGUCGUUGAACAAUUAGUCAAAUGUUAAUUGGUUUCAUUCAGAAUUAAGUGUAAAAAAUUUGAUGAUGAUAAUGAAAGAGACUUGAGUGUAUUACCCGACUAAAAUCCAUUUCGCUUUCUUCAUGUGCUCUAGAUCUACAAUUACCUGCUACACAUUCCAAUGGAUAAAUUCUGGUAAUUAUAAAUGUGAUUACUUAAAAUAUAUAUGGUGGCUUCUUAAACUAAAUUAUAUAAAUUGUUAUCGUUAAAAAGCGACUUUUAGAGUUUAUAGCAACAAUCGUAUCUAUUUGUUCACGGGUUUUUGGAUUAAGUUAGAUUUAGGCUAUUGGUCAUUUCAGUCCACUUAUAAAAAUGGAAGGAUGGAUAUUAUUUUAUUAAUUUACACCAUUCGGAGAAUUUCCUUAUUUUGUAUCAAGUCAAAUAAAAAUUAUAGCCUCAACUCUGGCAAAUUAUUUGCAACAUGUUACCCAAUAGUCUACAUUAUAUAUCUAUUAAAAAUCUUAAUAUCUUGUACAAACAUUGUGUAUAAAUCUUUAUUCGAUCAGUUAUAACAAAUUACAUAGACAUAUAGUGUGUUCGAUCGAGAAAAAUAAAUAAAAGAUUGGACAUGAUAACUACAUUUAUACUAUGUGAUUGUAAAACUACAUCAGGAACUAGAUAAACUUAGAGGGUAAAGGACACGAUAAAAAUUGAAAUUAUUAUCAUUUACUAAAUCAGAAUACAACUUUUUGCCUCAAAUACAAGUGAAUAAAAUACCCAAAUAGACUUUUAUCCACCAAGGAUCGUCGUCUAAGAUAAAAAAAAUUGUUCAAUAUAAUUAAAGUUAGUAAUGUGUCUUAUGUCUUAUUCCGUGUUCUUAUGUCCAAUACUUACAUUUUUAGAUAAUCAAACGUAUUCAUCCUGUUGAAGUACAUGGAGUCGAUACAAGUUAAGAACACAGUGGCUUGGGUUAGGUGAUAGAUGUACAAUCGUAUAGCUUAUAGGUCAAUUCUAACAUGUUUCUGAAAGUCAUUUUGUAUGGAGGUGUGUUAUUUGAACAAUCAUUUGAAUGAUAACUUUUGUGACAACCACUAAUUUACAAAGGAAAGUAGAUAGUGACACGGAAACCAAAGUAAUAGAGAGAUAAAGUAAAAAAAUAAUGUGAGUAUGAAAAAUAAAAUUGUCACAAAAUGGUUGUCAAAAUAUCAUUUCUCUUUUGUAUAACAUGCACAAAUAUUUAAAAGAUAAAUGAUAUUUGUAUAACCAUUUUUUUGACAACUUUUAGACAAUUUUCUCUCUCAUAUUCACGUUAUAUUCUUAACCUUUCUUUUCCUUUUUCUCUCUCCUUUGUUUUUAACCAAUAAAAAGAGAGGAAAAAAAAGUUGUCAAGAAAGUUGUUAGCAAAUAGUUGUUCAAAUAUCAUUGCUCGAGUUAAAAUCGUGCUCACUAAACACAAAUGAUUUUUGACGAAGUUUUGUGUAGGCACAAGCAUUUCGGCGCACAUACAUAAAUCAAAAAAAUUAAAAGAUAAAUAAAACAGUCACAUCAAUCAAUAUCAUUUUAAUCAUUUAGUUUUUAAUUUUUUUUUAACUUCAUGGAUGCGUACCUAAAUGUGAGGUGUUGGUCAUAUGACCAAAUAAGAGAUUUUCAUGAUUUUUUUACCAUAAGAUCAAAAAGUUAUAUCAUAUCUCAUUUUAUUACAUUUUUUCUUUAAUGGUGGGGUUUAUUGGUUUCUAAAAAUAUAUCAAUUACCACCCUUUGUUUUCAAAUUCUUUAACCCCGUCACUAAAAACAUAAAAGUAUUUGGAGUAGGUUUAUUUUGUGAAAACAUUUUAAGUUUUCUAGAAUUUAUAUUUUUAAGCAAAAGUGAAUUGCAAAAAUUUAAGCGAGAUUUUUUAUCACAAGUUUACAAUUAUGGUGAAAUCGAAGAACUUAACUACUUAGGUUGUAAACUAAGAACAUUUUAUUAACAAAGAACCAAAAACAGGCAUGAUGGAGUGCAUAGACCAAAAUCUAAAGAAAAAACAUCAAACAGAAAUAAAGGGAAACUAUGUCGAUUAUUAUAACAACAAUCCUCUAAAAUAAAUCUAGGUGGAAGAGUCCACCAAAUAUAACGUUUAGAUUAAAAACCAAAUCCCGCUAUAAAUAUGAGAGAUUACAAUUAAUUGCAUUUGAGAACACAAUGACAAAGCAUUGCGUUGUCUUUUUUUUUUUUUUUUUUUGUCAUUUAGCUUAAUGGCUAUAGAAAUUCACCUUAAAGAUGAAUAAUUGAAGUGUCAUGCAUCGUCUGUUUUUUAAUCUCCACGUGAUAGACCGAGAAUUCUAAAAAGACUUCACCGAUAAUGACGGUGGAGAUUAAAAAACGUUCAUAAUUGCGGCCAACAAAACAAUUUGUGACUAAUAAUUCUAACCUUUUUAAAGAAAAACACGAAGUAGACAAGAAAAAGGAUGUAUCAAUAUGACAAUCAAUGGAAGUCCAAAGUCAACUCUAAAUGUUAACAUCAAAUUGAUUAACGUUGUAACUUGUAACACCUCGUUUUUUCAACUUAAAAAUUUCACAUAUAAAUUAAAGUAUUUCAACAUAAACAGAAUGUCACACUUCUUUUCAUAAAAUCAUAAACAGAAUAAAAUAACUAUUUAUCCUUCAAAUUCAACAGCAUAUCAUUUAUUACAUCGCAACGGAAUGUAUUCAACAUUUAAACAUCUUUUGCACCAAGGCCUCAACAUAAAAUCUCUUAAAGUUAUUCCAACAACAUGUUCAUGAAAGUUCAUAAAAUAAUACGUAAGGAAUAGAAAGCAACAACAAAAUUCUCAUCCCGUUACGUAUCAGGGCACCUAAGACACACGUGAGAGAUAGUCCACUCACGACAACAACUAACAGCAACUAUUCUCGAUCACCUGCAGGUUACCCAUAUGAAGGGUAACAAUUCCAAGCAGAAGGGGUGAGAUUUCAUAUUCAAAUAAUAAUAAGCAUAUAAUUCAUUAAAUGCAUUUAACAACUUAAACUUCAUCAAUUAAUAACAUUAACUCUUCUUAUAAUACUUCGUUAAUAACUCAAUCAAUUUCUAAUCAUCAUUAACUUCAUAUUCAUCACAUUAUAUACAACAUCAUAUAGCACAUAAUAAUCAGAUCAUAAACAUCAUCAUAUAACGACAUAAUCAUCACAUCAUAAACAUCAUCUUAUAACAAGAUAAACGAUACAUCAUAAACAUCAUCUUAUAACAGCAUAAACAACACAUCAUAAACAUCAUCUCAUAACGACAUAAACAACAACGAUUAAUAAAUAUUAAUACUUCACUUAGUUCUUUAUUAACAACUCAUUGACAAAUGACAACUUAACGACAACGACAAUGCGACUUCUACAUCUUAAACUCAACAUAUGCAACUUCAACUUCUUAAUCAUGCAUGUGGUACCAACCAGAGCAUCAAGCCCUCAACAUAAAGAGCAUAAAUACACUCACAGGGCAUCAAGCCCUCAACAUAAGAGCAAAAGCUCACAGAGCAUCAAGCCCUCAACUUCAAAUGAUUAUGCAUGGACUCAAAAACGUACAACUUAGACAAAUUCACAACUUAUAUGAUCCAAUAUCUUGGAAUAACAACUUACAACUUUACAACUUAGACCAACACUUGCAACUUAAUGACAAUAAUGGUUCAACAACAACAGAAACAGCAACAUAAACAUCUUGCAACAUAGCAACAUCAAUAAUAACAAUUUGAAUGAUAUAAACAAUAAUAAUUUCUAUAUCAUACAUUUUCAACACCUUAUAUAAAUAUCUUAAAUUAACCAACAAUCAUUAAUCAUUUGAUUCAGGCUCUCUUUAACUCUAUAACUUAAUAACAACUUCCAUUCUUAUCCAAAGAUCAACUCAAAACAUAGGUUAAAUACUCUUAAACAUCUUAAUUGAACUCAUAGUACUUCUAGUUUUGAGGUUUUGAAUUAUCCCAUAAGUUUUGGAUUAACUUAGAAAUGGUUAUGCUGAAUUUUCAUAAGAUUUCACUAAGACCUCUCUGGAGUAUUUUUUAUCAUAUCUCAAAAACCAAAAAUCAUUUUCAAAUCAAACCAAAGCCAUUGAAAAGCUAAUAAAAUUAUCUAAAACUUUCAUGUUUACAACUAGACACAGUUCAAAGCGGAAAGGGGUGAAAAAUAGUAAAAUAAGAAGGAUCUGAUUCACAAAAAUCGUGCCACGUUUUUAUGCCCAGAACCAUUGAACUUUCGGCCAACAAAAUUGUGCCACGCUUGCAAAAUCGUGACACGUUUUGACAGCAUCAGGUCCAGAAAUCUGCUUUUCAAAAAGUGCAAUUUUCACCAUUUCGCGCGUAAAAUUCAAACCGUUAAUCGGAUUUUGAUGCCGUUUUCGCCUACACGCUCCUGAAACUUGGCUCUAUCAUAAUCUACAGCUAUUUCAAGUCUCAACCAUCCCAAGAAUCAUUUUCCAAAACCUCACAUAAUCCCUUAUUUGCAAAAACGUUUAGACACCGACUUUUCAAGCGAAAAUCUCAAUUUUCAUCAACUCAACCCCAAAACUGGUUCUAAUCAUUGUACUGUGAAUAAUCUAAGGUCUGAACAUCGUUUCUUCAUUAAUUCAACAGGUUUCUAUCAUCUAAUCAACCAAUUACAACUUUUAACCCUAAUUUCCCAAAUUCCCAAAACUACAACCUACAACAUGUUAAAUCCAAUUUUCAGAAUUAUACAACUUAUAAUUAAAGAAUGUUAUCAUUCUAGGUUCUUCUCUUCUAUUGUUUUCUCCCUUUUUCUCCAAAAACUUGUUUUACGCGAUCCUUAUUUUCUAAUUCUAACUCUCCCCUUUUAUAUAAAUCCUUAACCUACUUAUUUUCUCUUAUUUCCAAAUCUACCCCCAAAGUCUCAAUAUUCUAUUCUAAUAUAUAUGUAUAAUAAAAUACUUCUAUAACAAAUAACAAAUAUAUCUCUAUAACAAAUAUAUUUAUGUACCAGAUAACAUAUAUAUUUCUUCACCAAAUUAGAUAUAUAUUUCUACACCAAAUAACAUAUAUAUUAUACUAAUAAAUACCAACAUAUAACAUAACAAAAUAUCACUCAUCAAAAUAAAUCGACUAAAUUAUAAAAAGACAUCUAAAUUCAAUAAAAUAAAUAAAUAUUAAAAUAGGGCGUUACAAACGUGCUUUCUAUCAUCGAUGAACCAGAGCAAAAUUACCAUUAGAUUCAAUCAAUGGUCAUGAUUUAUACAAAAUAAAAAUAAGAACAUUUAAGAAUUGCCUCGCACAAUCUUGCCCCUAUUAAACUUUUUUAUUUUUGGUAUUCAUCAUCUUCAACCUCCAUUCCAAUUUUUUCGUAAUAAAAAAAAAAAAAAAAACUCCAUUUCAAUUUAGGAGCAAUGCUACAAAAGAGAAUUUGCACAAAAAAUUGAGUGUGUCUUCAAAAGUUUACGGGGUUUGCUAAAAAUCUAGUUUAUGGGUUCAAUUGGAGGUGGUGACUAAUGAAAUUGGAGGUUUAACUCAUCCUUAAAAACCAGUUCAUAAGGUGAGUCACGCCCAGCACUCUUUGGGCUUACGUGAAUCGGUAGGUAUUUGGGCUUACGUGAAUCGAUAGGUAACUCUUGAAUUCGACAGGUUCUGAUACCAUAAUGAAAUUGGAGGCCUAACUCAUCCUUAAAAACUAAUUCAUAAGGUGAGAAUUGUCUCCUCUAUAUUAACUCUUAUCAAGAGUCUUAUCUUUUCGAUGUGGAACAUGAGUUUUUUUCAAUAAUGACCUUUAAAGUUUAAACACGCGGCAUCUUUGAAUUCUACAUAGAAAAAAAAAAUAGAAUUAUAGCGUGUUAUGUUUGUUUCUCUAGAGCAUGAGACAUUUCAUUGUUCAGUUUAUGUUGUCAUGGAAAGGCAUAUGAGUGAUGGGUGUACAUCAUCGAUCGGUGGUUUGAUUCUCGUGAAUAGAACAAAAAAAAUCUGAGCUCAAUGGUACAAAUCCUUACGAUGAAAGGUGAGAUAUAGUAGGAUUGUGUGUGGAUAGUUGUAAAUGUUAUCUUUUUUAAUUCUAGUAGAUCAAAAUUGUUAAUCUCAUUUCAUGGUAAAAAUUAAAUAGUCCAUUUGUGAGGGACUCAAUAGCUCCUUCACCUUAGACGUCACCCUUAAUUAAUAAGAAACUAACGGCGAGGGACUCAACUCCCUCACCUUAGACGUCACCAUUGAUUAAUAAGAAACUAACGAUUGAAGUAAAUAAACGAGAAAGAAACUCAAACUUCUUUCUAAACUUUCUUUCUCUUUCGUUCAUCAAGGAGGGGUGGUUUUUGACCUAGAAUCACCCCUCUACAUCUUUUUUCCCAUUUUCUUUCAAUCUAAAUAAGUGGUUUUCACAUACAAGUGUUUCCUUUUGUGUUUUUUGUGAUUUUGUCGUCUAAGUACAACGCUGUGUUGGUCGUCGUCUUGUGCGGCGUUUGAUUUCACGUCUUGUCGCGGCGUUCGUUUAGUUUCUAUUGAAAGAUUGACAUCGGUCAAUUAUAAAUCCAAUCAAUGAUUUGGGUGUGAAUGUUGCCGAUCUAGAAACAUGAGUAUUUCGGUGACUUAGAUUUAAUCAUAUUAGUUGUAGCAUUUUGUCAUUUUAUGUUAUUAACUUGGGUGCUGUGAGUUUGUUCGCAGUUUUACCCUUUACGUUUCUAGCGAUUUUUGUAUCUGAUGUACUCUAUCAAUCUGAAUGAAUGAAUAUCGUUUUGUUUUUAUUAAAAAAAAAAAAUAAAAAAAAAACUAACGGUUAAAAGUUUGCUCUACAUGCCUACAAUGAUAAUAAAUAGAGAUAAUUUACUACAACUUUUAAAACAAUGAUGCUCAUUUAUAGGAACUUUACCAUAAAUAAGUCUCCAAAGAAAAAAUGAUUUGGAUUGAGGAAUUGAAGGUUUCCAAAUAAGCUAUGUCCAUGAUUGAUCAUAUGCAGAAACUUGACAAAAACUAUCAGCAUCCUAAACUGAAAGAGAACCUGAUGAAGAACCCUUCUAAGCAAGAUAUUCAGUGGAAAACUAUACCCCGAUAUUUAUCAAAUUUCAUAUUUCACCAAUUCAACUCUCUCUAUCAAUAGUAUAUAUAUAAAGUAAGAUUUUUUAUGACACGUGUCACUUCCACGUUUAUUCGCAAUAUUUUUAUUUUUUUUCUAAUUUUUCAAAACCAAUAUUUAAUUUGGCAUAAAUAUCUCAACAAACUUUUGAUCUUAUCUAUUAAAUAUUUUACUUAACUAUUUAUUGAAUUCCUAAUAUUUUAUGUAAUAGAAAUAUCUCAACAAAAUUACAUACGAUACCCUUCAAUUAAAAAUCAUCAAUCAAUCAAUAGUAUAUAUAGUAAGGUUUCUUAUGCCACGUGUCACUUUCAUGUUUAUUCGCAAUAUUUUUAUUAUUUUUAUAUUUUUUAAAAUCAAUAUUUAAUUUUGUAAAAAAAAAAUCAAUAUUUAAUUUGGCAUAAAUAUUUCAACAAAAUUUUAACCUUAGGGAUGGCAAUGGGUACCCUAUCCCAAUGGAUAGGGUACUAUAGUACCCUAUCCAUUGGGUACUCAUUGCCAUAAAUGUAUUGGUCUAUUCUCCACUAUCAUAAAUAUAAAGUGAAAUAUAUUGAAUUGGAAAUGAUGAAAGUAGUAUUAAUUAGAGUUAUAAUUGAAAAAAAAAGUAAUUAAUAAUUGUAUUGAAAAGUUAAAUGCAUCAAGAUUUUUGAGACAAUAUUUUUUACAAAUAACUUAGUUAUUAUGGGACGGAGGGAGUAACACUUUAACAUGACAAUGAAAAGUAAAUUUAAGAAUUAAAAUGCAAGAAAUGAAGAGAAUGUUUCUCUAACACAAAACUAUUUUUUUUUUCUCUUUCACUUAUACACUUUUUUAAUGUGUAAAAUAAAAAAUAAAAAAAACUUAUGUAUAAUGAGACGGAGGGAGUAGUUAGUAAGAACAAAGUCGUCAAGGAACCAAUUAACUCUUGAUUUCACUUCCCAAAAACGUCUUGAUAGUGCUAUACUCCCUCCGUCCCAAAUUAUAAGCAAAAAAACAAAAAUCACACUUAUUAAGAAAACUAAAACAUAAAAAUUUGGAGUAUAGUUUUUUGUGUUUUCGUUGGAAAAAGUUUUAUAGGAAGAUGUAAAAACAAUUUUCAUUGGCUAUUGAUUAUGGAAAAAAUGAAAGAAAGAGAAAAUUGAAUGUAAUUUGCAUUUAAUUUUAUGAGAAUAACAAAAAAAAAUCUUGGAAAAGAUUAAAAUUUGUCUUUUUUCCUUAUAUUUUGGGACAAAGAAAAUGAAUUUCUUUUGCUUAUAUUAUGGAACGGAGGGAGUACUUGGUUAAGCUGGAUUGAGCAUUCAAUUCUAAUUUAAGGGCCUUUAAUUUACCUUAAAGAAUAAACAUAGGACAACCAACCACAUAAUUAUUUAUACCAAACAUUUUCCACCACGUGGGUGAUAUCUGGAAGAUGAGAGUCCAUUUAAGUGAGUCAAUGUGACGAAAAAAAAGAUAAAAUGGCAAUUUUAGGAUCGUAAAUUUCUGAAAAUAAUGGAAGUAGUAAUUCUUUUAACGUUUUCAUUGUUUUAAAAAAAUUAUCCAAUCAUAUUUUAUAUGCAAUUUUUGUUUUUUAGAUUAAUUAAACAAUAAAUUUUGUUAACCAGUGUCCUAAGGGUGAUGAUUAAGGAAUUCAAAUGUAAAAGUUUUGUCUUGUAAUUGUAGGAUGUUACAUUUGAUCAAGUAAUGAUUAUACUACUUUUUAUUAAAAACUUACUUGAUUUAGUUGUUUAACCAGUGUGAACACUAGUUAACAUUCUCCUUAAAUAAUUGAUGUUUCUGAAAUAUAAUAUAUAUAUAUAUAUAUAUAUAGCUCAGAUACAUCACUUAUUUAAUGAAGAGUUUUUUUUUUUUCCUUCUCUUAAUUAACGAAUAAAACUAACACUUAUAUAUCUACCAAAAAAAAAAAAAAACUAACACUUAUAUAAUAUAGUUCGGAUACAAUAUAUUUAUAUAAUAUAAUCCGGAUACAUCACUUAUAUAAUCAACAUUGCUAUUUACCGCGACAAGUUUUGUCCCGAAUGCAUCAAGAAUGAAAAUAAGCCAAUUAAAAACAGCUGUUAGUGGAAAUCAUGGGAGGUGGGGGAGAAAAAGAUGGAAAUCAUAAACUAAUGGAUGGAUGGCAUACAUGCCACAUGUGUCUGGAAAAUCUCGGGACAGUUUUAUUUCGUGUGAAAUAGCAUUUUUCCUUAUAUAAUAUAGUCCAGGUACAAGGCAACUAUCACCGGAUGAGGUUUUAUCUUUUUAUUAAUGAAUAAAACUUUUUUUAAGAAGCUAAAUGCAAAAUAUAUUAAAAACCAAAUUAGUUAAGCACAAGAUGUGCCAAACGAAAAACUGUGUAUAACGUCAAAGUAACAAACUCGAUAAAGAAAGAAACCACAAAUAAUAAAAAUCAAAAGCGAAAUUCAGUUUAUGUGUCUUUAGCCACCACAAAAAAUGAAAUUUAAUAUUGUCGAGAAGUUGAUCCUUAGAAGACACGUUGUUAUUGAAAUUUCUCGAGUUUCUCUCCUUCCAAAUUCUCUCCUUCGAAAUAACUCAAAGACAUGUCAGCACACCACUUUAAAACAAGAGCUAAUGUCCUUCCUGAAAGCAUGCGCGCCAAAAAAUUGUUGUGCGUGACAACCAAUAUUUGAUGGAACGACGGUAGUUUUACCCUACCAGAUCAACAAACACCCUACCAGAUCAACAAACAGGGAAAAUAAAUAAAAAAUAUUUUUGCAAAGUAAUUAAACGGAUUCUAAUGUUUAAUAGGAACCGAUCGAGGACAACAUAGAAAUCAUGCUGGAAUUUGAAGAAGAAAUACAAACCUAAUUAAAGAGAGGGGCUAAGUAUUUCCAAGCUGGAACUUGAAAAAGAAAAACCAUGCUCUAAUUAAGUAACUAAGUAAGGUAGUACAUUACAACAAUUGAGAUAAGUACGACACAUUAUGAUGAUUAUGACUUAUGAGCUGUUAAAUGAUGUUGUAGGAUUACUUUUUUCUUGUCAAAAAUAAAUAAAUGAUGUUGUAGGAGAAACAUUAUUAUAAACAUUAUUAUAACUUACAAGGACUAAUGUUUAAAAAAAAAAACUUACAAGGACUAAUAAUGAGACAGAACGAAAGUGUACGUGAGUGUAGGAGACACGUUAUUAUAACAUUUUAUAAAUAUUUAAACGUUGAUAAUAAUUUUGUCGAUCUAUAAACCACUACCAAUUCCUAGUUAAAUAUAUAAUAAUUUUUAUUAUAUUUGUUAGUUGAUGGUAAAAGAUGAAUAUAAUUUGUUACUAUAUUUUUUUUUGACAAAAUAAUUUGUUGCUAUUUAAAAUUCAUAAAUAUAGUCUAUACAUAUAAUUUUAAUAAAAAUAAAAAUUCACCCAAAAAAAAAUCAAAAAUUUCAUAAAAAAAUAAAUAUUGUUUAUAAUUCACGAGCGUUGUCGCAGUACAAAAAUGGAUAGAUGGAUACCCAGUACUAGUAAUUAAUGAAGUUAAUUGGUAAAAUUUCACUCUUACUGGUGGUUGAUGGUAGGGGUGUUUACGGUGCGGUUUGGUUCGGUUUUGAGAGAAAAAGUCAUCCAAACCGCAAGAUAAAAAAACAUGCGGUUUGUGUAACACCCACAGCUGACGAGGGCAGGGGAGUGGUCACCGGUGCACAAGGCACGCCAAUGAGCGGCUCCCGACAGCUUCUAGAGGAACCGAAUCACAUCUGAAUGAGAGGGAUCCUGAGGCCGUGUAGGUGUGGGACUACAUGAAUGAAGGAAUGCUUAUAAGAAUUGUUUGGUAAUACCUAUAUCAACAAGGUGCAUCUUCUUUUUGGUACCCUAUUCCAUAAGAACUCCACAGUUAAGCGUGCUUGACUUGGAGUAGUCUUUGGAUGGGUGACCUACCGGGAUUCCCGAUAAGCAUGCGAGUGAGGACAAAACACGCUGAAAAGACUCGUGUUGGUUUGUAGGGUCAGUCGACAAUGCUUAAAGUCGUCUGGGAUGUUACAGUUUGGUUUGGUUCGGUUGGCUUUAAAAUAAAAUCCGAACCAAACCAAACCAAUAUGGUUUGGGUUGUAUCGGUUGGUGCGGUUUUUUUCGUGACGAUACGAUUUUUUGUUUCCAACAUUAAAAUCAAGAUAAAAAGCUGAAACACAAUAUAUUUUCAACAAUGUUUUAAAUUUCAUCAAACAUUACAAUUUCAUUUUCAUUACAAUGUUUCCAACAACAUAAACCAAAUUAAAAACGCGGACAAAAAGUAAUCUUAUUUUGUAAGAAAUGCAAAAGACUGAGAUGUUCUCAUUCUCUAAAAGUUAAGUAGCACAUAAAUACAUUUUUAAAUAAAAAGCAAAUAAUGAACUUAACAAGAGAAAAAAAAUAUGACAUUUUAUAAAAGUUUUCAUUGAGUUUCUAUGAGUAUUGGUCUUGAUGACAUAUGUUUAAUUAACAUUUUUCUUAUGUUAUGGUUUGGUUUGGUUUUGUAUCUAUUUGACAGUCUCUUUGUACUUUGAGCGACCUCUUUAGUACGCCUUAUGCUAAAGAGGUGUCUCUCUUAUUGUGAAUAUAUAUCAUUUUACCUUCUUAAAAAAAAGUUAAUUGGUAAAAAAAAAAAAAAUUUCUCUCUUGAUUUAUAUGAAAUGACAUUUUUUUUUGGAACAUGGAGGGUAUUGAUUUUUACACCUUUUCAAAAGCCACUCAAGGAUGAAUAUAGAUUUUUCAUGCAUCAAACACAAGAAUCAUUAGCAUAACAUGCUUUGGAAAACACACACAUAUACUUAAAUUAAUGGUUGGAGUAUCAAAUUUAAAAAUAUUGUUGUCAAUACAUACCCCGUCAAUCCUCCUUUUUUACCCAAUAAACAUUGAAAUGUUGCUUCUUUCGUUAAGCAUAAAAACAUCAAAGUCUAGCAAAAUGUUGUUUUUGCGAUGACACAUUUCAUAUAGUUUAAAGGAUGCAUGAUUCGAUUACAAAAACAAAAUACUAAUAAUUCUAGCACAAAGUUUAAAGCUAAGAUUAUAAAGCUUCAUAGCAUGUGGAUAUUCAUUUAGAAAUAUAGGAUUAGGAUUGCCCCUUUCAUCACGGGUCUAAUAGCACCACUUGUCACUACAUGUUAAAAAUGUCCUCUAGUACAACACCGCUUUUUACUUGAUUCCCCUUGUCCAUGAAAAAAUCAAACAAUAUUUGGACACAAAAAUUUGCCCCCACUUUCCUUUUUCUUCUGCCCUAGUUUGUUUGAAAACUCAUAUUGAUCAAAUUUGGCUAUGAAUUCAAACAAAAAAUUCACUCUGCCCAUUGCAUGUGUGGGACCCACAUAUAAAUCCAUGAAGGAUUUCAAUGUCCAUCCAAGUCAAUGAUUCAACAUAUAACAUUGAAUAAUUUAAUUCCAAUUUGCAGUAUUAUGAUUUAGAUUGAUUGCUGCAAUACGGUCCGUGAAUGUAACUCACGAGAAAGAGGUAUCAAGGUAUUUUAUUUUAUUUUUAACAAAUAAAAUUUCAAGGUCUUGUUCACCAUAUAAACCUCCUCACUCUCACUCAAUUCUCUUAAGUGUAUGACUUCAUAGUAAACUACACUACUUUCUUUAAAACAUGGCUAACUAUGCUAUAGCCAAUGUUUUGAUCCUUCUCUUGAACUUGAGUACCUUACUCAAUGUUCUUGCUUGCCCUUAUUGUCCUUACCCAAGCCCUAAACCACCUUCACACCACCCUCCUAUUGUUAAGCCACCAGUUCACAAACCACCAAAGCAUUCUCCUACUCCUAAACCACCAGUUCAUAAACCACCAAGAUAUCCUCCUAAACCAUCACCUUGUCCACCCCCAUCAUCAACACCAAAACCACCUCAUCAUCCCAAACCCCCAGCAGUACACCCACCACAUGUUCCAAAACCACAUCCACCUUAUGUUCCAAAACCACCAAUUGUUAAACCUCCAAUAGUACAUCCACCUUACGUACCAAAACCCCCAGUUGUGAAACCACCACCAUAUGUCCCUAAACCACCUGUUGUGAGACCACCCUAUGUUCCUAAACCACCAGUUGUACCUGUAACACCACCUUAUGUUCCUAAGCCACCAAUUGUUUUCCCACCACAUGUUCCUCUACCUCCAGUUGUACCAUCACCACCACCUUAUGUACCAACACCUCCAAUUGUGAAACCACCAAUUGUUUUUCCACCACAUGUUCCUCUACCUCCAGUUGUGCCUGUAACACCACCUUAUGUGCAACCACCACCUAUUGUAACUCCACCAACACCAACACCUCCAAUUGUGACACCACCAACACCACCUAGUGAAACACCUUGUCCUCCACCACCACUUGUACCUUAUCCACCACCACCAGCACAACAAACAUGUUCCAUUGAUGCUUUGAAGUUGGGUGCAUGUGUUGAUGUGCUUGGUGGACUCAUACAUAUUGGUAUAGGUGGAAGUG
rnacentral:lncRNA from 1 species